AACGCGUGAGCAACCUGCCUUACACAGGGGAAUAGCCUCGGGAAACUGGGAUUAAUGCCCCAUGACGUAUCUGGAUCGCAUGGUCCGGAUACCAAAGUGGUAGCGGUGUAAGAUGGACUCGCGUCUGAUUAGCUAGUUGGUGGGGUAAGGGCCCACCAAGGCGACGAUCAGUAGCCGGCCUGAGAGGGUGGACGGCCACACUGGAACUGAGACACGGUCCAGACUCCUACGGGAGGCAGCAGUGGGGAAUAUUGCACAAUGGGGGAAACCCUGAUGCAGCGACGCCGCGUGAGCGAAGAAGGUUUUCGGAUCGUAAAGCUCUGUCCUUGGAGAAGAUGAUGACGGUAUCCAAGGAGGAAGCCCCGGCUAACUACGUGCCAGCAGCCGCGGUAAUACGUAGGGGGCGAGCGUUGUCCGGAAUUACUGGGCGUAAAGGGUACGCAGGCGGUUUGAUAAGUCAGGUGUAAAAGGCAUUGGCUCAACCAAUGUAAGCAUUUGAAACUGUCAGACUUGAGUAUAGGAGAGGUAAGUGGAAUUCCUAGUGUAGCGGUGAAAUGCGUAGAUAUUAGGAGGAACACCAGUGGCGAAGGCGACUUACUGGACUAAAACUGACGCUGAGGUACGAAAGCGUGG
rnacentral:rRNA from 1 species